UACGAAGGACCCGAGCGUUAUCCGGAUUUAUUGGGUUUAAAGGGUGCGUAGGCGGAAUAGUAAGUCAGUGGUGAAAGCCUGUUGCUUAACAACAGAACUGCCAUCGAUACUGCUAAUCUUGAGUACAUAUGAUGUGGGCGGAAUGUGCCAUGUAGCGGUGAAAUGCUUAGAUAUCGGGAGGAACACCGGUGGCGAAGGCGGCGUUCUGGACUGCAUCUGACACUGAAAGACGAAAGCCAGGGGAGCAAACGGG
rnacentral:rRNA from 1 species